GAUGAACGCUGGCGGCGUGCCUAACACAUGCAAGUCGAACGAAGCACCUUACCUGAUUCUUCGGAUGAAAGUUUGGUGACUGAGUGGCGGACGGGUGAGUAGCGCGUGGGUAACCUGCCCUGUACAGGGGGAUAACAGCUGGAAACGGCUGCUAAUACCGCAUAAGCGCACGAGGAGACAUCUCCUUGUGUGAAAAACUCCGGUGGUACAGGAUGGGCCCGCGUCUGAUUAGCUGGUUGGCAGGGUAACGGCCUACCAAGGCAACGAUCAGUAGCCGGUCUGAGAGGAUGAACGGCCACAUUGGAACUGAGACACGGUCCAAACUCCUACGGGAGGCAGCAGUGGGGAAUAUUGCACAAUGGGGGAAACCCUGAUGCAGCAACGCCGCGUGAGUGAAGAAGUAUUUCGGUAUGUAAAGCUCUAUCAGCAGGGAAGAUAAUGACGGUACCUGACGAAGAAGCUCCGGCUAAAUACGUG
rnacentral:rRNA from 1 species